AGGACGAACGCUGGCGGCGUGCUUAACACAUGCAAGUCGAGCGGAAAGGCCCUUCGGGGUACUCGAGCGGCGAACGGGUGAGUAACACGUGAGCAAUCUGCCCUUAGCUCUGGGAUAGCUCCGGGAAACCGGGAUUAAUACCAGAUAUGACCACUUUAGACAUCUGAUGUGGUGGAAAGAAUUUCGGCUAGGGAUGAGCUCGCGGCCUAUCAGCUUGUUGGUGGGGUAAUGGCCUACCAAGGCGACGACGGGUA
rnacentral:rRNA from 1 species